AGCAGCCGCGGUAAUUCCAGCUCCAAUAGCGUAUAUUAAAGUUGUUGCAGUUAAAAAGCUCGUAGUUGAAUUUUGGGUCUGGCCGGGCGGUCCGCCCUCUGGGUGAGCACUGUUCCGACGCCGGGCCUAUCCUUCUGGUGAGUCGGCAUGUCCUUUAUUGGGUGUGUCGGGGAACCAGGACCAUUACCUUGAAAAAUUAGAGUGUUCAAAGCAGGCGUAUGCUCGGAUACAUUAGCAUGGAAUAAUGAAAUAGGACGCGUGGUGCUAUUUUGUUGGUUUCUAGAACCGCCGUAAUGAUUAAUAGGGAUAGUUGGGGGCAUUAGUAUUCAAUUGUCAGAGGUGAAAUUCUUGGAUUUAUUGAAGACUAACUUCUGCGAAAGCAUUUGCCAAGGAUGUUUUCAUUAAUCAAGAACGAAAGUUAGGGGAUCGAAGACGAUCAGAUACCGUCGUAGUCUUAACCAUAAACUAUGCCGACUAGGAAUCGGGCGAUGUUAUUCUCAUGACUCGCCCGGCGCCUU
rnacentral:rRNA from 1 species